rnacentral:rRNA from 1 species
GAUGAACGCUGGCGGCGUGCCUAAUACAUGCAAGUCGAGCGAACGGACGAGAAGCUUGCUUCUCUGAUGUUAGCGGCGGACGGGUGAGUAACACGUGGAUAACCUACCUAUAAGACUGGGAUAACUUCGGGAAACCGGAGCUAAUACCGGAUAAUAUUUUGAACCGCAUGGUUCAAAAGUGAAAGACGGUCUUGCUGUCACUUAUAGAUGGAUCCGCGCUGCAUUAGCUAGUUGGUAAGGUAACGGCUUACCAAGGCAACGAUGCAUAGCCGACCUGAGAGGGUGAUCGGCCACACUGGAACUGAGACACGGUCCAGACUCCUACGGGAGGCGGCAGUAGGGAAUCUUCCGCAAUGGGCGAAAGCCUGACGGAGCAACGCCGCGUGAGUGAUGAAGGUCUUCGGAUCGUAAAACUCUGUUAUUAGGGAAGAACAUAUGUGUAAGUAACUGUGCACAUCUUGACGGUACCUAAUCAGAAAGCCACGGCUAACUACGUGCCAGCAGCCGCGGUAAUACGUAGGUGGCAAGCGUUAUCCGGAAUUAUUGGGCGUAAAGCGCGCGUAGGCGGUUUUUUAAGUCUGAUGUGAAAGCCCACGGCUCAACCGUGGAGGGUCAUUGGAAACUGGAAAACUUGAGUGCAGAAGAGGAAAGUGGAAUUCCAUGUGUAGCGGUGAAAUGCGCAGAGAUAUGGAGGAACACCAGUGGCGAAGGCGACUUUCUGGUCUGUAACUGACGCUGAUGUGCGAAAGCGUGGGGAUCAAACAGGAUUAGAUACCCUGGUAGUCCACGCCGUAAACGAUGAGUGCUAAGUGUUAGGGGGUUUCCGCCCCUUAGUGCUGCAGCUAACGCAUUAAGCACUCCGCCUGGGGAGUACGACCGCAAGGUUGAAACUCAAAGGAAUUGACGGGGACCCGCACAAGCGGUGGAGCAUGUGGUUUAAUUCGAAGCAACGCGAAGAACCUUACCAAAUCUUGACAUCCUUUGACAACUCUAGAGAUAGAGCUUUCCCCUUCGGGGGACAAAGUGACAGGUGGUGCAUGGUUGUCGUCAGCUCGUGUCGUGAGAUGUUGGGUUAAGUCCCGCAACGAGCGCAACCCUUAAGCUUAGUUGCCAUCAUUAAGUUGGGCACUCUAAGUUGACUGCCGGUGACAAACCGGAGGAAGGUGGGGAUGACGUCAAAUCAUCAUGCCCCUUAUGAUUUGGGCUACACACGUGCUACAAUGGACAAUACAAAGGGCAGCGAAACCGCGAGGUCAAGCAAAUCCCAUAAAGUUGUUCUCAGUUCGGAUUGUAGUCUGCAACUCGACUACAUGAAGCUGGAAUCGCUAGUAAUCGUAGAUCAGCAUGCUACGGUGAAUACGUUCCCGGGUCU